rnacentral:lncRNA from 1 species
AUGUGGCUCCACUCACCAUGUUGGCACCUCCUGCUGGUCAUCUUGGGGAUUAGCUCUGCAGUCUUCUACCAUCUAUUUGAAACUACUUCUAUCAGGAUCAGAGUUGUGCAAAGAUAGUGGAAUAACCUUUGGAAACUCCUUGCAGAAUCCUCUUCUGAGCUCUGGCACUGUCGAUGCUGCACUGAACAAGCUGAGGGCAGAUAGAAGGAAAUGCCACUGCUGACUUUUAGAAAGGCCACAGGGUGCCAAAGCCCUUUUGUUUUCCAGGGUUGAACAAAAAGCACACUACCUAAUCUAGAUACUCACUGGAUUGCAUUGUUCUCACCCUUCUCCAUCAUCUCUUCCUCUCUCUACUAUUUGUCUUCUUCACCCAUAUUACAUAUGAAUUUUAGAGUAUAAGCAUCUUAGGAUGCGGAACAUGUCUUGUGAUGCUUUGUAAAGGCCCAACACACUUUUCAAUUGCUAUAAAAUAGUAAGGAGAACUGUAUGGAAUUAUUUAUGGAAACUGGUUAACAUUAAAGUAAAGAGAACUUGCAUAAAUGAAGUAUUCAGAUUUCUAUUUAAAACUCUCAAAAGCCAAGACACGACUAACUUGGCCACAUACAUUCCUGUAUAUUUCAUAAUAUAGAUUUGAUAUUAGCAAUAUUAUUAUUUUAGUAGUUAAUAUUUAUAUUCUGGUAGUAUUCUUGGUUCCUAAACAGCACCUAAACUCUCCCACACAUUCUCCCCCCAAAUCACCCUUCUGCCACUUUGUGAGUUCAGUUACUACUCUGACCAUGUCUUCACUUGCAAAAAGUGUUAUUUACCAUGUGUUAGCUAACAAGUGGUAACAUCCUAGUGUAGAGAAGUUUAGGCUCUUCCUAGGGUUUACCUCACCCUUCUAACGUGUGUGAAAACAACAAACUGUCUUGUCUAGAAAUAUGUGAUAUGAAAGUCAGAUGCUCACUGUACAGAAUCAGUAAGAAAAUAUGUCAGACUGAUUUAUACUGUUGCCCGUUCUUGUGACACCCAAGAAUCUUAGCCGAACACCAAUGCUCAGUUCCCAGGGAGCAAUUCUGUCUGAAAGAUUGUUCCUAGCCAGAGAUGAAGGCAGACAAUAAACUGUCCUGCUACAUGGAGAGCUCCCUCUCC